rnacentral:rRNA from 1 species
UAGGGAAUCUUCCACAAUGGACGCAAGUCUGAUGGAGCAACGCCGCGUGAGUGAAGAAGGCUUUCGGGUCGUAAAACUCUGUUAUUGAAGAAGAACGUGCGUGACAGUAACUGGUCAUGCAGUGACGGUAUUCAAUCAGAAAGUCACGGCUAGCUACGUGCCAGCAGCCGCGGUAAACGUAGGUGGCAAGCGUUGUCCGGAUUUAUUGGGCGUAAAGCGAGUGCAGGCGGUCUUUUAAGUCUGAUGUGAAAGCCUUCGGCUUAACCGAAGAAGGGCAUCGGAAAC